rnacentral:rRNA from 1 species
GACGAACGCUGGCGGCGUGCUUAACACAUGCAAGUCGAACGGAAAGGCCCUGCUUUUGUGGGGUGCUCGAGUGGCGAACGGGUGAGUAACACGUGAGUAACCUGCCCUUGACUUUGGGAUAACUUCAGGAAACUGGGGCUAAUACCGGAUAGGAGCUCCUGCUGCAUGGUGGGGGUUGGAAAGUUUCGGCGGUUGGGGAUGGACUCGCGGCUUAUCAGCUUGUUUGUGAGGUAGUGGCUUACCAAGGCUUUGACGGGUAGCCGGCCUGAGAGGGUGACCGGCCACAAUGGGACUGAGAGACGGACCAGACGCCUACGGGAGGCAGCAGUGGAGAAUAUUGCACAAUGGGCGGAAGCCUGAUGCAGCAACGCCGCGUGCGGGAUGACGGCCUUCGGGUUGUAAACCGCUGUCGCCUGUGACGAAGCGUGAGUGACGGUAAUGGGUAAAGAAGCACCGGCUAACUACGUG